AGCCCCGUAGUGUAAUGGUAACACACCAGAUUUUGAUUCUGUCGUUCUUGGUUCGAGUCCAGGCGGGGCUACCA
rnacentral:tRNA from 1 species